AGAGUUUGAUCUUGGCUCAGGACGAACGCUGGCGGCAUGCCUAAUACAUGCAAGUCGAACGAUGAUAUCACUGCUUGCAGUGAUUGAUUAGUGGCGAACGGGUGAGUAACACGUGAGGAACUUGCCCAUGAGCGGGGGACAACAUUCGGAAACGGAUGCUAAUACCCCAUAGGUGGAUUGGUCGCAUGACGAAUUCAUUAAAGGUGGCUUUGCUACCACUCAUGGAUAGCCUCGCGGCGUAUUAGCUAGUUGGUAAGGUAAUGGCUUACCAAGGCAGUGAUACGUAGCCGACUUGAGAGGGUGAUCGGCCACACUGGGACUGAGACACGGCCCAGACUCCUACGGGAGGCAGCAGUAGGGAAUCUUCCACAAUGGGUGCAAACCUGAUGGAGCAAUGCCGCGUGAGUGAAGAAGGUCUUCGGAUCGUAAAGCUCUGUUGUUAGAGAAGAACACGUGCUAGGUAACUACUAGCGCCUUGACGGUAUCUAACCAGAAAGUCACGGCUAACUACGUGCCAGCAGCCGCGGUAAUACGUAGGUGACAAGCGUUGUCCGGAUUUAUUGGGCGUAAAGGGAGCGCAGGCGGUCUGUUUAGUCUAAUGUGAAAGCCCACGGCUUAACCGUGGAACGGCAUUGGAAACUGACAGACUUGAAUGUAGAAGAGGAAAAUGGAAUUCCAAGUGUAGCGGUGGAAUGCGUAGAUAUUUGGAGGAACACCAGUGGCGAAGGCGAUUUUCUGGUCUAACAUUGACGCUGAGGCUCGAAAGCGUGGGGAGCGAACAGGAUUAGAUACCCUGGUAGUCCACGCCGUAAACGAUGAGUGCUAAGUGUUGGGGGCUUUCCGGCCCUCGGUGCUGGAGCUAACGUAUUAAGCACUCCGCCUGGGGAUUACGACCGCAAGGUUGAAACUCAAAAGAAUUGACGGGGACCCGCACAAGCGGUGGAGCAUGUGGUUUAAUUCGAAGCAACGCGAAGAACCUUACCAGCUCUUGACAUCUUCUGACAACUCUAGAGAUAGAGCGUUCCCUUCGGGGACAGAAUGACAGGUGGUGCAUGGUUGUCGUCAGCUCGUGUCGUGAGAUGUUGGGUUAAGUCCCGCAACGAGCGCAACCC
rnacentral:rRNA from 1 species